rnacentral:rRNA from 1 species
UAGCGAAGGGGGCUACGUUGCUCGGAAUUACUGGGCGUAAAGGGCGCGUAGGCGGCACUGUUAGUCAAGGCGUGAAAGUCCUGGGCUCAACCUGGGAACUGCGCUUGAUACGGCAGAGUAGAGGAUGGAAGAGGCUCGCGGAAUUCCCAGUGUAGAGGUGAAAAUUCGUAGAUAUUGGGAAGAACACCGGUGGCGAAGGCGGCGAGCUGGUCCAUUACUGACGCUGAGGCGCGACAGCGUGGGGAGCAAACAGG